rnacentral:rRNA from 1 species
UAACACAUGCAAGUCGAGGGGCAGCAUGGUCUUAUCUUGCUAAGACUGAUGGCGACCGGCGCACGGGUGAGUAACACGUAUCCAACCUGCCGUCUACUCUUGGACAGCCUUCUGAAAGGAAGAUUAAUACAAGAUGGCAUCAUGAGUCCGCAUGUUCACAUGAUUAAAGGUAUUCCGGUAGACGAUGGGGAUGCGUUCCAUUAGAUAGUAGGCGGGGUAACGGCCCACCUAGUCUUCGAUGGAUAGGGGUUCUGAGAGGAAGGUCCCCCACAUUGGAACUGAGACACGGUCCAAACUCCUACGGGAGGCAGCAGUGAGGAAUAUUGGUCAAUGGGCGAGAGCCUGAACCAGCCAAGUAGCGUGAAGGAUGACUGCCCUAUGGGUUGUAAACUUCUUUUAUAAAGGAAUAAAGUCGGGUAUGCAUACCCGUUUGCAUGUACUUUAUGAAUAAGGAUCGGCUAACUCCGUGCCAGCAGCCGCGGUAAUACGGAGGAUCCGAGCGUUAUCCGGAUUUAUUGGGUUUAAAGGGAGCGUAGAUGGAUGUUUAAGUCAGUUGUGAAAGUUUGCGGCUCAACCGUAAAAUUGCAGUUGAUACUGGAUAUCUUGAGUGCAGUUGAGGCAGGCGGAAUUCGUGGUGUAGCGGUGAAAUGCUUAGAUAUCACGAAGAACUCCGAUUGCGAAGGCAGCCUGCUAAGCUGCAACUGACAUUGAGGCUCGAAAGUGUGGGUAUCAAACAGGAUUAGAUACCCUGGUAGUCCACACGGUAAACGAUGAAUACUCGCUGUUUGCGAUAUACGGCAAGCGGCCAAGCGAAAGCGUUAAGUAUUCCACCUGGGGAGUACGCCGGCAACGGUGAAACUCAAAGGAAUUGACGGGGGCCCGCACAAGCGGAGGAACAUGUGGUUUAAUUCGAUGAUACGCGAGGAACCUUACCCGGGCUUAAAUUGCAGAUGAAUUACGGUGAAAGCCGUAAGCCGCAAGGCAUCUGUGAAGGUGCUGCAUGGUUGUCGUCAGCUCGUGCCGUGAGGUGUCGGCUUAAGUGCCAUAACGAGCGCAACCCUUGUUGUCAGUUACUAACAGGUUCCGCUGAGGACUCUGACAAGACUGCCAUCGUAAGAUGUGAGGAAGGUGGGGAUGACGUCAAAUCAGCACGGCCCUUACGUCCGGGGCUACACACGUGUUACAAUGGGGGGUACAGAGGGCCGCUACCACGCGAGUGGAUGCCAAUCCCCAAAACCUCUCUCAGUUCGGACUGGAGUCUGCAACCCGACUCCACGAAGCUGGAUUCGCUAGUAAUCGCGCAUCAGCCACGGCGCGGUGAAUACGUUCCCGGGCCUUGUACACACCGCCCGUCAAGCCAUGGGAGCCGGGGGUACCUGAAGUGCGUAACCGCGAGGAGCGCCCUAGGGUAAAACUGGUGACUGGGGCUAAGUCAUAACA